CCUACGGGUGGCAGCAGUGAGGAAUAUUGGUCAAUGGGCGCGAGCCUGAACCAGCCAAGCCGCGUGAAGGAUGACUGCCCUACGGGUUGUAAACUUCUUUUAUAAAGGAAUAAAGUGAGGCACGUGUGCCCGUUUGAAUGUACUUUAUGAAAAAGCAUCGGCUAACUCCGUGCCAGCAGCCGCGGUAAUACGGAGGAUCCGAGCGUUAUCCGGAUUUAUUGGGUUUAAAGGGUGCGUAGAUGGGUUGUUAAGUCAGUUGGUAAAGUUGGGGGCUCAACCCGAGAAGCGCAAUUGAUACUGGCAGUCUUGAGUUGAGUUGAGGUAGGCGGAAUGCGUGGUGUAGCGGUGAAAUGCUUAGAUAUCACGAAGAACUCCGAUUGCGAAGGCAGCUUACUAGACUGCCACUGACGUUGAUGCACGAAAGUGUGGGUAUCAAACAGGAUUAGAUACCCGAGUAGUC
rnacentral:rRNA from 1 species